rnacentral:ncRNA from 1 species
GGUAAUCUGCCACCGGGUAGAUAAGCGAAAGCAUUCGUUACACAUCGUUAGGUCAUUGAAGAUGUAUAAGCGGAUGCUUAUUUUAUU